rnacentral:rRNA from 2 species
GAAACCCGGUGAUCUAGCCAUGGGCAGGUUGAAGGUUGGGUAACACUAACUGGAGGACCGAACCGACUAAUGUUGAAAAAUUAGCGGAUGACUUGUGGCUGGGGGUGAAAGGCCAAUCAAACCGGGAGAUAGCUGGUUCUCCCCGAAAGCUAUUUAGGUAGCGCCUCGUGAAUUCAUCUCCGGGGGUAGAGCACUGUUUCGGCAAGGGGGUCAUCCCGACUUACCAACCCGAUGCAAACUGCGAAUACCGGAGAAUGUUAUCACGGGAGACACACGGCGGGUGCUAACGUCCGUCGUGAAGAGGGAAACAACCCAGACCGCCAGCUAAGGUCCCAAAGUCAUGGUUAAGUGGGAAACGAUGUGGGAAGGCCCAGACAGCCAGGAUGUUGGCUUAGAAGCAGCCAUCAUUUAAAGAAAGCGUAAUAGCUCACUGGUCGAGUCGGCCUGCGCGGAAGAUGUAACGGGGCUAAACCAUGCACCGAAGCUGCGGCAGCGACACUAUGUGUUGUUGGGUAGGGGAGCGUUCUGUAAGCCUGUGAAGGUGGCCUGUGAGGGUUGCUGGAGGUAUCAGAAGUGCGAAUGCUGACAUAAGUAACGAUAAAGCGGGUGAAAAGCCCGCUCGCCGGAAGACCAAGGGUUCCUGUCCAACGUUAAUCGGGGCAGGGUGAGUCGACCCCUAAGGCGAGGCCGAAAGGCGUAGUCGAUGGGAAACAGGUUAAUAUUCCUGUACUUGGUGUUACUGCGAAGGGGGGACGGAGAAGGCUAUGUUGGCCGGGCGACGGUUGUCCCGGUUUAAGCGUGUAGGCUGGUUUUCCAGGCAAAUCCGGAAAACCAAGGCUGAGGCGUGAUGACGAGGCACUACGGUGCUGAAGCGACAAAUGCCCUGCUUCCAGGAAAAGCCUCUAAGCAUCAGGUAACAUCAAAUCGUACCCCAAACCGACACAGGUGGUCAGGUAGAGAAUACCAAGGCGCUUGAGAGAACUCGGGUGAAGGAACUAGGCAAAAUGGUGCCGUAACUUCGGGAGAAGGCACGCUGAUAUGUAGGUGAAGCGACUUGCUCGUGGAGCUGAAAUCAGUCGAAGAUACCAGCUGGCUGCAACUGUUUAUUAAAAACACAGCACUGUGCAAACACGAAAGUGGACGUAUACGGUGUGACGCCUGCCCGGUGCCGGAAG